rnacentral:lncRNA from 1 species
CUUCUCUAUUGUAUAACCGUGUUCUUACAUGGACAAUGUCACACGUAUUAACGUAUAAUCUAAUCAAAAUGUGAUAUAUUUUAACAAACUGCGAGAUCUUAAACGGGCAAAUUGUAUAACAUACAUGCAAAUGAAAACAGCACUUGCGACUCUCUAUCCCCAAGUAUAAAAUAAAUAUACCUAUAAUUGAGAUGUGUCGUUCUUGCAUUGAUGUAAAUACUUCAUCAUUUUUAUUCCGGCUAAUUAUGACUCUCUCUCUCUCUCUCUCUCUCUCUAUAUAUAUAUAAGAGCCAGAAUUUAUAUAACUGAUUUAAUGUGUCCUUAUUAGUUUGCAUUGAAUAUAUCCCAAUGAAAAAUCAAUAAAUAAAAAAAAAUUAAAAAAACUUAUGUUAAUAUUCAAUUUAUGACCAUUUUUCUGUUAAUGGCCUCGAGAUGUCUUGUAUUUUAGCAUGCGUGUUAUUUUGGGUUGCUAUCUCAUUAAAUAUAUUCUCAUAGUAUCAAGAAUAUUUAGGGGAAUGUAACGUGAAAUAAAAGGGAAAACAAAAAUAAUUUGAGGAUAAAGCGUUUCCGUUUUUCUUUUUAUAAUCAUUAUUUUCUAAGUGCAAUACAUCGAAUGACUUGGAAUGUUCUGGUGAAAAGGAAGUUGCCAAUUUAGGUAUAUGUAUACAAAGUAUAGAGAGGUUAACGACUCCAGCCUUUUUCACAGAAGAAAUAAAGUUUAUUAAAUGUCUGGAGUAAUCCAUUUAUAUCUUGUUGUUUUAAAUAUUUGUUCAUGUGACAAAAUCUACUACAUGCCUUGGCUUUACAUUUUCUCUAUUGCACAAUUUUUGCAAUUUUUUCAUUGGUGUGCAAAUCACGAUGCGGUGUGUGUGUUUAUGGUGAUCAGUUUCGCCUAUGCCGAUAUAUAUAUAAGUACAGGUUCCAGCGAACAUUUUUAUUAUACAUUUUUCAAUUGUUAAUAUCGUUAUAGAAAAUAGUACGAAGAGUGUUGAUCAUACUAAAAAUAAAUAAUCCAAGUUUUGAAUUUUGUGUAUUUUUCUGAGCAUUUUCCAUUAUUUUGCUGAGUUUCUGAAACACAUUUAAUAUCAAAUAAAAAUUGAUCAACGCGCCAUCUCAAACCAACAAGAGAAGUUUUUUUUACAAAACUGACUGGUCAUUUAUCACACCAUGACAUAUAUGCGUUAGUGUUUUUGCUGCGGUACAGUUAUAACACAUUAAACUGCUAGAUCCGGGACAUAACAAAUAAUUAUCGUUUAGCUGAAAAAAUUAUGCAAACUAAUUUAUUUAAAAUCCGUCAAAUUAAUCAUGAUUACCGUUAUGUUUGUAUCAUCUUUUCAUAAAGCUAAACCAAUUCAAGAAGUCAUUCUCCGUUUAAAAAUCUCAAGACAAUUAUUUUUUUUUCUUUUUAAUAUAGUCUAGUUAUUUUUCUUCUUUCCUUUUUUGUUGUUGCUUGGAGAAGAAUUUAUAAAUGUACAAAAAAUAAUGAAAUUA